GGACCCGGCUCCGCCCUACCCCACGGGGCCGCCUGGAGAGGUGCUGGGAGCUGGGUGGAGCUUAGAGGAAUUAAACUUUGGCCCUGCGCCUCGUCCAGCCUAGGUUCCACCCUUUUCUGGGAAAGUGAGUAUCAACCAAGUUCACACCCCGCCACUCCUGAGCACCGCACACCGGCUUCCUCCCAGUCCCUCAUCUGAGAACUCAUGAAGCCACUUGGAAUCCCUCUCUGCUUUGCCUGGCUCAUUCCAUGUCAAUUUCAGAUCUUCGCUUCAGGUCAGCUCCAAGGAGGCUAUCCUUGCCCAUCUUCCUAAAAUAGAGCUCUCAAAACCUGGCUGUUUUCCUUCAGAGCACUGGCCUCCAAUUUAAAUCCCAACUAAGGUACCUGCCGUCGGCAGAUUUGAGCUUUCUUCUUGGACACGUAUUACCCACAGUCCUCCAGACUCUGGUAGAUUGCAUAUAACCUGCUUUCUUUCUGUUCCCGGGCGGCAUCAGACCCGUCGGAGAGUAAAUCCCAAGUAAGGUACCUGCCGUCGGCAGAUUGGAGCUUUCUUCUUGGACACCUAAUACCCACAG
rnacentral:antisense_RNA from 1 species